rnacentral:rRNA from 1 species
GUGCCAGCAGCCGCGGUAAUUCCAGCUCCAAUAGCGUAUAUUAAAGUUGUUGUGGUUAAAAAGCUCGUAGUUGAACCUUGGGCCUGGCUGGCCGGUCCGCCUCACCGCGUGCACUGGUCCGGCCGGGCCUUUCCCUCUGUGGAACCCCAUACCCUUCACUGGGCGUGGCGGGGAAACAGGACAUUUACUUUGAAAAAAUUAGAGUGCUCCAGGCAGGCCUAUGCUCGAAUACAUUAGCAUGGAAUAAUAAAAUAGGACGCGCGGUUCUAUUUUGUUGGUUUAUAGGACCGCCGUAAUGAUUAAUAGGGACAGUCGGGGGCAUCAGUAUUCAACUGUCAGAGGUGAAAUUCUUGGAUCAGUUGAAGACUAACUACUGCGAAAGCAUUUGCCAAGGAUGUUUUCAUUAAUCAGGAACGAAAGUUAGGGGAUCGAAGACGAUCAGAUACCGUCGUAGUCUUAACCAUAAACUAUGCCGACUAGGGAUCGGACGGUGUUAUUCAUGACCCGUUCGGCACCUUACGAGAAAUCAAAGUGCUUGGGCUCCAGGGGGAGUAUGGUCGCAAGGCUGAAACUUAAAGAAAUUGACGGAAGGGCACCACCAGGGGUGGAGCCUGCGGCUUAAUUUGACUCAACACGGGGAAACUCACCAGGUCCAGACACUAUAGGGAUUGACAGAUUGAGAGCUCUUUCUUGAUUUGUGGGUGGUGUGCAUGGCCGUUCUUAGUGUGGGUGACUUGUCUGCUUAUGCGAUACGAACGAGACCUUAACCUGCUAAAUAGCCCGCAUUGCUCCGGCAGUGCCGCUGGCU